GAGUCCAAGACCACCGCUCUUGUAUUGCCCGCCCCGAGCUGAGCCUUGCUGGUUCUCUCCCCUUCCCUACCCCAUCUCCUGUUCGCCCCCCCCCCCCAACUUCCUGCAUUUGCUGGCUACCUUCCCAGCUCUGGACCUCGGCUCGCUCUUCCAAAUUCCAGCAGUUUCUCUCCCAUUUGUUGGGUGUCACUGCGGACAGAUAACUGGUGACGCAGUCCAUCUCCCCAACACCCUGCCCUCAGAGCUGUCUGCACACGCGGGCCCAGGUACAGCAAGGAGAUCUAUGCCCACCUGACACGGGUAAGCCUUUGAUUCCUCCUGGCACAAAGAGGUAUGAAGCCUGCUCGAGACUCGAUGCUUUGCUGCCAGAUAGAAAGAUGUUAAAGGCAAAGUAGCAUCACUUCCAGUCUUGACGUCUCUGAAAGCCUGAAGGCCCAACUGCUUUCUACAUCUGCUUUCCUGCAUUUCCUCCGACGCAUGGAGAAAAACGUGUCCAAUGCACGAGCCUACUGGAACCCAGGCAAGGAAUGCAAACGAGUGAGGUGGCCCAUGACAGGGGUGCUGGGGACCCAGGCAAACUGGAGGGCCCGGGCCCUGUCCAAAGAAACGUGGUGCCCAUUCAGCUCCUGCCCGCUGCUCCCCCAUAGAAACCCGAGCUCAGAGCUGCUGGAGCCACCCAUUUCUCUAGAGAUUCUGGAAAUCUGAACUUUUCUGUAAAACCUCCAUGUUUUUUGCCAAAAUGUUAAAAAACAAAAAACAAACAAACAAAAAAACCUUCUAUAAGAGUGCAUACAAACAUGUGGACAUGUCACUUUUAAAGGGGACAGCCCAAACCGGAAAUAACCCUCCGGUCCUUCCGCAGGUGAACAGAUAAGCCAGGUCAGGUGUGUGGAUAUGACACAUACUAGCGGUUUAUACGUACAAUACUAUACCCACACGAUACGCACUGCUCAUCAAUGAGUAAACCAGGACUCUCGAUUCUGCUGAGUGAAAGAAGCCAAAUGGAAGAACCCAGUGCAUACGG